GAUAUUUCAAACUGCUAUUAAAUUUUAUAUAGGCAAUGAAGGAUUUGUUUGAUGUAUAUGCUGCUUUUCUCCCAGAUGAAUGGCAAGGUGGCAUACAGAAAGAUAAUACAAGGUGAGCUAAAAACUUGAUAAUAAUUUAAGACACAGUUGUACAAAUCAUUCCACCAAAACACUAUCAAUGCAGCAUGCACAUAUCUCAUUGAAAAGGUUCCUUGUAACCAAUCAUUAAAUGCCUUUUUGAAUAAACAGGUCUUGCCUGCUGGUGAAAGGAGCAGCACAGCCUGCUAUGGAAAGAUAUACCACAGGCCGGAUGCAGCUGCUGGGAAGACUCUACUGGGUGUCCUCUCCAGAUGGGCUUGUGAUGGUAACAUAGAAAAAGCCCCCUCCCCUUAUGAUAUGAAGACUAUGGGAGGUUUGUAUAGGGGGAUGAGAUAGCCCAGAAAUCUUAAUUUCCCUGUUAGAUCUCCAGGAAUGGGAAGAAUGUGUGGGAAAUUAGAAGACCAAGACACAAUAGUAUAAUUGAAUAUAGGAGCAAACAGACAGUAGCCAUGGUAUGUAGGCUCACUCAGAGCCUAGGGCCUUAUUUGAAGUGCUUCUGUUUUAUUUUAGUUUAUUCCUGAUUUCUUUUUAAAAGCUGUUUUAUUCUACUGUUUUCACUGUAUUGUUGCAUUUUUUGGGUUAUGGCUGAGUUGGUUAUAAUAUGGUACAAUGCAUUGUUACCAUUUAAUAUGUUGUGGACUGCCUUGGGAAAAAAUAGAUGAAUUCCUACAUAAAUAAACAAAAGGCAAAGUUAUUCUAAUGGGAAAAAAUGAUGACUUCAGACCAUGAAAGCUUGUGUUGCACUCUUGUUUUUCAAACUUUCUGCAAAACUGCCUAGCUUUUGCUGCAAUGGUCUGCUUAUUCAAAGUACAAUGAUUCUCAAAAUGAAAAAGAGACCCUACUCACAUUCCUUUGUUACUGUUUGUCUUCAUGUAAUUUCCAGCUUGUGGCAAUUCUAAAGCCAACUCAUCACCUAGGCUUCCCACCUAGGCUUCCCACCUAGGCUUGCUUCCCACCUAGGCUUGCCUUCCUCUAGGCUUGCUUCCCACCUAGGCUUGCCUUCCUCUGAGGCUGAGAGACUGAUUUGUCCAAGGGCACCUAGUGGAUUUCCAUGGCUGAGAAAGGAUUCAAAUCUAGUCCAACACUUAAACCAUUCAGAUCAUCAUACUUGAUGGAAGUAUUACCUUUGAGGAUAGAAUGCAGAGUCUUGCCUCAACACUAAUAAAAUAAUAACUAGAAGAAAACGAUUGUUCUAGUUUGUUGUUGUAAACACGGCAAAGAUUUUUAGGCUUGUGCACUCGAUGUAAAUAUGUUUCAGUACUCAUUACAAAAUUAGGGGGCACUGAUGAGUCUUUUCUAAAGUGUUUCUAGAAUAUCAGAAGUGCCUGUUUUGUUAUAAUGAGAGUAACAAAUUAUUCAUUACUAUUUCAUUAAGUAAUUGUUGGGGGUGGGAGCUUCUGGGGCUCCUUUCUCACUCAUUUUUAGAGCUAUUGGGGUGGAACUUGCUACAAUGGUAGAACAUAUUUACCACUGUUACCCCCACCUCCAAGUUUCAGAACAUUUCACUCAUCUAUUGCUUUUUGAGGAUUUUUUUCUUAGAUUUUUACAAAAUCUUUUUUAAAAAGUACAAGAAUUUCUCUACAAUAGGCUGGCAGUAGCCAUAGAAGAUAGUGAUACCCUCAAAAUGAACCAGAAAAGGAUUGUGCCUGCCUCAAACAACUUCUUGUAUGGGUUGUGGUAACCAACACAAACAAAAUAGGCUGGCAAUCCCUAGAAGAUACCCUCAAAUUGCUCUCCACAAAAAAGCAAAAAGCACACCCCCCACCCCCAAAAAGAAGCAAGAAGUAAAGCCUCCACUAUUAUUAUUAUUAUUAUUAUUAUUAUUAUUAUUAUUAUUAUUAUUAUUUCCUAUGUUUAUACCCCGUUCUUCUCAACCCCGAAGGGGACUCAGAGCAGUUUACAGAUUAUGGCAAAAUGCCACAUUAUGCAAUAAAUAAUAUAGCAUAUCAAAUUAUAAAACAAAGCAUAUAAAUGCAAUAAAACAGAUUAAAACAUAGUAAAUGUUCUGUUGAGGAAGGAAUGAGAUGCCAAGCCGGGGUGGCAAUGUUCAGUCAAGAGACGGCCCAGGUGAAUCAAGGGCCAUAGUAUCUCUGUGCUGACACAAGGAUGCUGAAAUGGAGGCCAGUCAAGAUAGUCCAGCAGCACCAAGUGGUCCCCAGAAGCUGAGUGAGUCCUUAGAAUCUGAAACAGAGGCAGCAAGGGAAACAAACACUGCCCAUACCCUCAAAGCCCUGGUGAUGGUAUCUUCACUUCUUGCUUAAGCCUGAGGCCCUGCAGGCGUGGUCCUCUUUAUGCCCCAGCCUCUGGGCAAGCAAGCAGGUGUUGUUACUGGCCUCAAGUUGCAGAGUCAGGGCCUCAGUCCUGCCAGGGGUGAGUCCACGGGAGCUGAGCCAGAGAUAGCAAGGGAAACCAACUCUGCCCCUUCCCUCAAAGCCCCUGAAUGAUGGUAUCUUCACUUCUUGCUUAAGCUAUCGUUGAUUCCUCUCUCUCUCCAGUGCUAGUACCUGCCUACAAAGCUAAUUAACGGAAUCUGACGCAGAGCUCCAUCCUUUCCCUGCAAAUCACAAAUGGAGUCUGUGGCAUGGUGCUCGGGAAUUUAAAGAGCAAUGGCCAUGGUCUCCCACUCCACUUCUUCAGCCUUUGGAGGCAUGCAAGAAGUUUUGCUUUGCUUCCUGGUAGUGCUUGUUUGCUCUGUGAAUUAAAACGGCAUCACAAAGUGUUACAAAGUUUACAUAACUUACAAAAAAAUCAGGUAAAAGUUUUGAUUCUUAAUUUUUUGGCCUGAGUGAUGCCCGUGCAUCAAAGAUUGCAUCAGAUACAUGGAUCUAACAAAUUAGAUCCGACUUACAAUGGAGAAUCAAAAUUUUGUACAGCUCUAGUUAUUAUGAUACAUGAAGACUAAUGUAUUUGUAAUGGUGUCAGUGUUCAUACCCUGAGGCAGCACUCCCAUAUGCACUUAAACUAUAAGGAAGCCCUAUUGAUCUAUUUGGAGCAGACAUAAUGCAUAAAAUUGUCCUCUAAAUCUUAUUUAAUCCGGAGUUGUCUUUUAUGGUAUGUUUUCUGUCAGGUGAUGAUUACCAGACCAUAUUUUUUAUCGUUAGACAGUGUUGGAAUUGGUACAGCCCUUUAGAUGUUGGACUGAAAGACUCAGUGCUCCUACUAGUGUCAAAUGAGGAAUACUGGAAUUUUUAGUUCAAUAACAUCUGGAAGGCUGCACAGUUCAUGUUCUGUCCACCCCUGCCCUAAUUAAAUUAUCAAGAAUUAUUCCUUAAUAUGCAUUGACUGUGUCUGUGGACUCAAAAACUGUUCACCUUCUGUUCUUCCCUCAUACCUGUAAACGUGUGCCAAUCCAUCUUUAAUUGCCGUAAACCUUUAAAACUGCUAGCCACAUCCACAGCACCCUCCAGUCAUAGAAUCAUAGACUUCAAAAAGAAAAUUGCAUUCGAAGCACCCCCGACAUAUGGCCAUCCAGCCUCUGCUUAAAAGCCUCCAAAGAAGGAGCCUCCACCACACUCCAGGGCAGAGAGUUCCACUGCUGAACAGCUCCCACAGUCAGGAAGUUAUCUUCUUCGACAAUUGUAACUUUCCUACCUUCUGUUUAUUCCCCCACCCAGUCUUCACUCAUUCCUGAUUAUACACCAGGAGCUGUUAAAUGAAGCUUAAUCGUGCUAAUCCAGACAAAUUAUUUCUGUAUUUAAAUCAUACCUUUUGGUUCUGUCUUGAAUUUUGUAAUAAAAUUCAUAUUUUCAAAUAUACAUCUGUUUCUGUGUUAAAUAAUUCAUAUCCCCUUGUUUAAGAGUAUAGAACAACUUCUCCAUGACACACCUUUUCUCUAGGACUACAAAAAAUAUCCUACAUAUGUUGGUCAAAUACACAUGUAUAGUUGCAUGUUGGGUUAGACCAUGUGAUUGCAUACAUGUAAGUAUCAUAUUUAAUAACCAUGUAUAUAUUUGUACUCCUCCUGGAUAAUUGUAUAUUUUUGGUUGGGCUUUAUUGCCUGGUAUUUCUUAUUUAUGGAUCAACCGAGAGCAUUUGGACAACCAGCGGAGUUGAUGCUACUAUGAAACUUCCAUCUAUGCAUAUUGAUUUCCAAUGACCCUGUGACAAAACUGAACAUAACAAGUUAUUAAGAGCCUGUACCGUUGAAGCCUACUAAGCAGCUGUCAUAUUUACUGUACAAACCUACUACUAACCACUAGAAUCAUACUUUUACAGCAUCAAAGAUCCAAAAAACCACUUGGUGGCUAUUUGCAUAUGCCACUUUGACUCUUAUGCUUCUAUUUCAGAAUGUAUUUCUCACUUUCCGUUCCUUUUUUUUACAUGCUGGUAAAUAUCAGAUGAUGCCUCUCAAAAUGUCUGAAGAAUUUAAGUGAAUGUCAUUUUCAGAACUGAGUAAUGCUGAUCCAGUUUCCAUUCUUUUACAAAGCUGUCUCGAUUGAACUAGCUCCAUUUUCCUGUAAUAUGAAAUGCUGAGUUUGAAGUAACCUCUGAAAUGUCCUUUAAGUCUGUGACCCUCUGGAAAACUAAAUUGGGUUCCAUUCAGCCUGAAUCAUUGUCCACACACACACCAUUGGCAACAUCCCUCCAACACAAGGGUAUAGGACAUCCUUGUGUUGUCACCACCAGCAUAUCUCAACAGCUAUGUAUUUCUUUGUGAUACUCUGGCUGUUGUGGUUGCAUCUGCUGAGGAUACAGCAGGGCAUCCAUGUGAUCAGCAAGAAGGAGGGGUUGCUCUACUUGUUUAUCGCCCCAUUGUGUUCUCGGCAGACAUGACCAGUAUGGUCACACUUUCACAGGGCGCUCCAUAACUGGUGAGGAGUGGAGGCAAUAUGAGGACAAGAGGAUGGACUAAUGGGGUUGGUGCCAUUUCUGCUUGACUUGACCGUCUGGACACCAAUGAGGCCACUCUAUCCUCCAUUUUAGCCAGAAGGAGAGUCCUUAUACUGCAACAACUCAUAUGAAUUACAACCAUACACACUGAAAAGCAUUGAUGAAAAGAAAAGGAGUAGAUGGGGGAGGAAUGAGAAGAAACCUGAAUAUAUCAUUUUAGAAGUCCUGAAAUCCAAGAAACAGCUACUACUUCAGAUGUACAGAAGUGAUGUAAAAGGUUUUAUGAGACUGGAGAUUCUUCGUAAACACAGCCUGGCCAUUUCCUACCAAUGUGUGGCAUAGAUUUUUUCCUGUCUCACAAUGCAUGCCAUGAUUUAUUUAUAUUAUAUGCUCUAAUCUGCCCCCACUCAAAUUAACUAUUUUUCAGCUUUUCAUUUAUUUAUCCUCAUUUUUGGUCAUGAUAUUAUAAAAGGCUGUUUGUAGGUAUUUAGUGAUAUUCUGGGCCUCUAGUAGUGCAGCAGGUUAAACCACUGAACUUAGUUGGUGGUUUGAAUCUGGGGAGCAGGAUGAACUCCCACUAUUAGGCCCAGCUUCUGCCAACCUAGCAGUUCAAAAACAUGCAAAUAUGAGUAGAUCAAUAGGUACCGCCUUGGCGGGAAGGUAACGGCACUCCAUGCAGUCAUGCUGGCCACAUGACCUUGGAGAUGUCUAUGGACAACGCUCUUCAGCUUAGAAAUGGAGAUGAGUACCACCACUCAGAUUCAGACACAACUAGACUUAAUGUCAGGGGAAACUUUUACCUUUAUCUUUAGUGAUAUUCUGUUUCCCUUGACAAAAUAACUCACAAAUCACUCUCAAAGCUCCAAAUAAUUAUUUAAAAAUUGGGGACAAUUUCCUUCCCAAACUACUCAGAAAGACCCCAAAACGUGAAAAUACAACUAUUCCCACAAGCACCCUAGAAACCCAAUAUCACUUCCUCUUGCCAGGGCAGGAUAUUGUAAAUCAUUUCAUGUGUUAAAAUUACAUUUUUAUUGCACUUGGUGAGGGGAAUGUCUUAAUAUGUCCAAUUAACAGCUAGUUUUGAUGUGUGUGUGUGUGUGGGGGGGGGAAUGAUGCCAUCUGCUGCUCAGUCACAAGCAGCAAAAUUUCUAGUGUCUAUUCUAUUAGCUUUUCAAAUAUUGUUGGCAUGAUAUGUAUUUACAUUGUAGGGGGAAAACUAGAUCGUGAAGACAAGUGACAGUGAAGACGCAAUUUUGUAUUCUGUAUCCUAAGAUCAAUUGCCAAACAUGUGUCCUUAGUCACUUUUGAGAAGCAAUGGGUGUUCCUCGUUUUCAAAAAGGAACAAACUCCCUCAUUAUAAAUCACUGGCUGUCAUAAAUAAGCAUCUGCCUCAUAUUAUUGAGUUUGCUUCAGUGUUUAAUACCCAGAGGUGCCUCUGUUGGCCUGCUCCUCCAUACAGCUACGUAACCUCCCUCCCUCCCUCCCUCCCUCCCCUUCCUUCUCCCAUAUUAAAUAUCAUGCAGUGUUUCAUAAAUUUAUUUUCACUGCAUACUGAGUAUUCCUUAUCUGAAGUGCCUGAUCCCAGGAGUGAUUUGGAUUUCGGAUUUUUUUCAGAAUUUGGAAUAUAUGCAUAUAAAUUAUGGAGAUGGGAUAAUAUUAUACUCAAUAUUUUUAACAAUUUUGUGCAAGAAAUAAAGUUUGCAUAUACUGAAGCAUCAAAAAGUAAAAGUGUCGCUUCUCAGCCACCAGUGUGGAGGAUUUUGGAGUAUUUCAGAUUUUGGAUUUCCAGAUAAGGAAUAUUUGGCCUGUUCUAAGGCAUCACCACAAUCUCUUCUCCCUCCAUUAUCUUUAUCAGGAGUUAUGUUCAAAUGCUAAAAUGUUUUAACAAUAUUGCUCUGGUUAAGAUUUAGAACUUUUUUAUUUGGGUGCAUACAUUCCUCUUUUCCGCACAUUCCUAUGUUCCUCAUACAUUCCUCUUUUCCUCAUAUGAUGUCUGUUGAAUUUCUGUCCUGGAAACAAUAGCUGUUUUUACUAGUGACAGCCAUUUCAUCUGUUUCUGAGACUGCAGAAACACACUAGGCAAGUACAGAUAUAUUUCAUAUCAGAAAAUGUUGAGCAAUUCUGGGGAAUGGGAGUGAAAAAUCCUUGGUAAUGCCAAGAACUCCCAAGAAAUAUUUUGGGUUAAAGUGAACAUCAUGUGGAUCUCUAAAAUAAAAUUGGAAAGCACAGGUACAAGACCUGGGAUGUUUAGAAAUAAUCAUCUGAAGGUGAUUUUUGGAAUUGCCCUGCUAUAUGGAACAUACCUCACCAUUUCCUAAAGAUGUUCUGGGCAUAACGCAAAAUGCAAAUGAAUACUUAAGUGACUUGGGAAUAUCCCAAAAGCACAAUUAUUUUACUUAGGCUGUAUCCACACUGAAGAAUGAUAGCAGUUUGAAACCACAUGGCUCAAUAUUAUGGAAUUCUGGAAUUUAUCUGUCAGGGUGUUCUGGUGCUAUAACAAACUACAAAUCUCAGGGUCCUUCCACACAUGUAUUAAACCGGGUUAAGGGGUGGUGGCUAAACAUGUAUUUGGCUAAAACACAGGAGGAAUCUGGUUAAAGACUACAAAACACAUGUUUAAAAGUUGCCCUUUAAACCCGAUUCUUCCUGAGAAACACACAUUUUCCCAUGCCUAUGUAUCUCUCCUGUCUGGACUCCCUCCCCCAUUUCUCCCUCAACUUACAGGACAAAGCCUUCCAUGCAGGCCGGCAGCCGUUGCCUCUGUUCCUCCUCCCUGGAAGAUCCAACAGGGAGACUUGGGGGAGAAAUCCCCCCUACCCUACCCAAAACCCUCUUUAGUGCUUUCAAGGUAGGGGAGAAGCAGGCAGGGAGUCUUCAGGCCUUGUACAGUCUUCUCCCGCUAAGUGCAGGGGGAAAUGUGGAGGGGGGUUGGUGGAGGGGGAAGCUGGGAGUGCUAAUACCCACCCCUGCUGAUCUUGGAUCAGCAGAGGGGAAUAUCUGAACACCACUCCCCCCACACAAAAUCCCAGAGUUUAGGCCGUGUGGCCUCCAUCCCAAGAGGAAGUGGGAUUUAAAAUCCCAAUUUCUCUUGCAUUUUUCACCUGUCUGGAAGGGUCCUUAGAAUUCCAUAGGAUGGAACUAUGAAAAUUAAAGUGGUAUCAAACUGCCACAAUUCUGCAGUGUGGGUGAUCUUUUACUUUUAGAGGCUCUUUCUUUUCUCUGCAGUCAUGAGAUGUCAGAUUUAUGAGGGAUGAGAGGACCAUGGCGAGUUGCAACACAAAACAGGAAGUCUCAACUGCAGAUGUAUUGGUCUGGUUUUAGUCCUGAUUCAAUUUUAACACAGAGAAAAUGCAAAACGUGGCUAAAGGAUCUUGUUAUUUGGCCUAGACUUUUUAACCUGCAUGCUGUCUCUAACUUUUGUUCUCCCUCACCCCAUUUUGUCCCAAACUUUCUGGUUUGUUUUUUAAUCUCUGCUUUCUGUUAUUUUAAUCUACUUGGUUUCCUUUGUUGCUAUAUUUUCAUUGUUGUGGUGGUGUUUUCUCCCCUCGUGAGUUAUAACACAGCUGCAGAUUUUUCUAUUUUAUUGAAGCACACAUGUUUUAAAUAAACAUUGCUAAUAUGAUAAAUAGAAAUGCUUUUUUCUCCACUCUUCUUUUUAGAUUUCAGAAUAUUUCACCCACUCUGGGGCUCCCUCACAUGGCUUUCCAGCAUUGUAUAGCUAUGGGGUGUGUGUUCACUAUUCCUCCCUCCCCAAAAGCUUCUGAAAGCAGAAAAGAAAUUUUCACCCAAUCUUCUUAUUUCAGGGAGUCAUUAUGGUCUAAUGCAAUGGUUCUCAAUCUGUGGGUUCCCAGAUGUUUUGGCCUUCAACUCCCAAAAAUCCUAACAGCUGGUAAACUGGCUGGGAUUUCUGGGAGUUGUAGGCCAAAACACCUGGGGACCCACAGGUUGAGAACCACUGGUCUAAUGGUCUGAGCACUGGGCUAUGGUCUGGAGACCAGGAUUCAAUUCUCUCGGCCAUGAAAACCCACUGGACAAGUCACACUAUCUCAGCUUCAGAAGGCAAAUCCCCUCUUAACAGAUCUUGGCAAGAAAAGCCCAUGAUAGAUUCACCUUAGGGUUGUCCAGCCUUCUACAGCCUUAUGUUCUCUUGAUGUGUUAGACUACAUCUUCCAAUAUCACCAUGGACCAUGCUAGUUUGCGAUGAUGGUAGUUUUUAUGUGUGACCUACGGAGUGUAGCAAGUUGGAAUCUAACCAUUAUACCACACUGAAUUGUAUAAUGAAAUAAAUAUAGUGCCCAUUU